UACGAAGGGGGCUAGCGUUGUUCGGAAUUACUGGGCGUAAAGGGCGCGUAGGCGGUGUGUCAAGUCAGGCGUGAAAGCCCCGGGCUCAACCUGGGAACCGCGCUUGAGACUGGCACGCUAGAGUCGGGAGAGGAUGGUGGAAUUCCCAGUGAUAGAGGUGAAAUUCGGUAGAUAUUGGGAAGAACACCGGUGGCGAAGGCGGCGUACUACUGGCC
rnacentral:rRNA from 1 species